GGACUACCCGGGUAUCUAAUCCUGUUUGCUCCCCACACUUUCGCUUCUCAGCGUCAGGAAUGGCCCAGAUAACCGCCUUCGCCACUGGUGUUCCCCCCAAUAUCUACGGAUUUCACUCCUACACUGGGAAUUCCAUUAUCCUCUACCAUCCUCUAGCUCUUUAGUAUCAAAAGCAAUUCCACGGUUAAGCCGUGGGAUUUCACUCCUGACUUGAAGAGCCGCCUACAAGCGCUUUAAGCCCAGUAAUUCCGAACAACGCUAGCCCCCUCUGUCUUACCGCGGCGGCUGGCAC
rnacentral:rRNA from 1 species